rnacentral:rRNA from 1 species
UACGAAGGGGGCUAGCGUUGCUCGGAAUCACUGGGCGUAAAGCGCACGUAGGCGGAUCUUUAAGUCAGGGGUGAAAUCCUGGAGCUCAACUCCAGAACUGCCUUUGAUACUGGGGAUCUCGAGUCCGGAAGAGGUGAGUGGAACUCCGAGUGUAGAGGUGAAAUUCGUAGAUAUUCGGAAGAACACCAAUGGCGAAGGCGGCUCACUGGUCCGGUACUGACGCUGAGGUGCGAAAGCGUGGGGAGCAAACAGG